rnacentral:lncRNA from 1 species
UCAUCACUUGCCAUUGUCUACCACCACACCUUGGCUCAUGUUCCACAGCACUCACCUCUCUUAAGGAAUUCACGUAAGUGCUGAGAAGUAAUGGAACCUGGACUCUCCACUUUUGAGGCAGGGCUGACAGCUGAGCGUGGACGUGGAUGGUGGGGAAAACACAGCUAUGACAGCCUUCCCCACAGUUUAAGGUAUCAACAAAUUUAAUUCUCACUCCACAGGAAGACUCCAGAAGACUAAAAAAAUCUCACUUUGACAGCUUUCAGAUGCCUCCAGUCCCUGCUUCACCCUAUUCAGAUGCACAGAGAUCUUGUGUUGCCCCUGAAGAUACUCUCACUCAGCCUUCCCUCUGUCUGCAGAGAUGGCUUUGACAGCCCCACACCUACAAUCUCCAGCUUCUCUUCUGAGCUGUGCUCAGGUAAGGUAUCCAAUGCCCUUUGCAUUAGGGACUCCACCAACACAUCUCAUGGGAGUUUUAAAGCUUAGCAUAUAGUAGAUUAAAUGGUCAAAACACUAGGAUGGGAAGAGAUUGAAACUGGACUUGAGACCAUCCAUCAGUCCAAGAGGCACUGCUUUUAGUUACGUGAUCCUAGAACAACCUGCCUACUUUGGUCAUUCUCAGAUUGGCUAAAACAUAUUUCUAAUCUUGGUCGUCUAUGCCAUAAGCAGGGAUGGUGGUGGCGGUAGGGAUGUUAAUGAGGGGAAGGUUGUGAAUGUGCGUUGUGAACUCCAAAGUGUGGAAAAUUGAUUUUCACAUGGUAAGCUCCAGUGCACAACGUCAGCAUCCCUUUAUUCAAAGCAAUACUGAAAUAUAGUCAUGGUUCCAUGAUGACCUGCAGAUCUUCUUUACAGGUAUUGUUGAAUCCUAAAGCUCUAACUUUAUAAUUUAAAGCCCUUGAGUAGGAUAUUCUCACUGGGAUGUCCCUCUGGUGACUUGAACUUGACAAAUCCAGAAUGAAUCCUCAGCUCCCCUCUCUGCUUUGUCGUCUUUAGUACCACCUGUCUCAAAAAUGAGCAUCAUUAUCUGCCCAGACUGUGAGGUUAAAACCUUUUCCUCACUUCCCAUGUGAGUCAAAAAUUGUGUCUGGAAAAUGCCUU